rnacentral:rRNA from 1 species
GUGCCAGCCGCCGCGGUAAUACGUAGGGGGCGAGCGUUGUCCGGAUUUAUUGGGCGUAAAGCGCCUGCAGGCGGCAAGCCAAGUCGUGCGUGAAAUCUCUCGGCUCAACUGAGAGGGGUCGUGCGAGACUGGUUCGCUCGAGGCGGGUAGGGGGAAGCGGAAUUCCGGGUGUAGUGGUGGAAUGCGUAGAGAUCCGGAGGAACACCAGAGGCGAAGGCGGCUUCCUGGACCCGGCCUGACGCUCAGGGGCGAAAGCGUGGGGAGCGAUCCGGAUUAGAAACCCCCGUAGUCC